ACGAAUCACAAUCAUUUUUGUUUGAUACUAAAAAGAUUGAUUUUUUUUGAAUACAUUUCAGCUGUUUUGUCCAAUGAAAUGUAAGAUUGGUUUGGAUGAGGCUUUUGUUUUUGUUGAGAGUUGUUGCUAAUUCGUAUAAAAGACAUGCAGUUUUGCAAAUUAGCAACAGUCAACUUCAUAAGCAAUUUAAUAUCAGUUUGUUUAAUCUAUAGUACCAAAAUCAAAUUGAUAGGUUUAUAAGAUUGUAUUGGACUCCUGAUCGACGACUUCAAUACAAAUACGAAGAUAUCAAAAAAUAUGGCUAUUUCAUUGAAAACAGUGUUUCUCCUGUCGAUCUUAGUUAUUAACGUACAACAAUUGGACUCAGCUAAAUUACAUAUUCGAAAUGAACCUGUUUCACCGUGUUGUCAGUCAUCUUUUCUAAUGAACCUGUUUUCAUAUUCACCUUGUGCUUGCCCUCCACCUCCAACUGCCUUACCUCCUCCGGUAAAAAAA